rnacentral:tRNA from 1 species
GGGGUUGUGGCUCAGUGGUAGAGCACUUGCCUAGCAUGUGUGAGAUCCUGGGUUCCAUUCUCAGCACCA